rnacentral:misc_RNA from 1 species
GAUGAAGAACGUAGCGAAAUGCGAUAAGUAAUGUGAAUUGCAGAAUUCAGUGAAUCAUCGAAUCUUUGAACGCACAUUGCGCCCCCUGGUAUUCCGGGGGGCAUGCCUGUCUGAGCGUCAUUACAACCCUCAAGCUCAGCUUGGUGUUGGGCCCCGCCGCCCCGGCGGGCCCUAAAGUCAGUGGCGGUGCCGUCCGGCUCCGAGCGUAGUAAUUCUUCUCGCUCUGGAGGUCCGGUCGUGUGCUUGCCAGCAACCCCCAAUUUUUUUCAGGUUGACCUCGGAUCAGGUAGGGAUACCCGCUGAACUUAAGCAUAUCAAUAAGCGGAGGA